rnacentral:rRNA from 1 species
GAUGAACGCUAGCUACAGGCUUAACACAUGCAAGUCGAGGGGCAGCAUGGUCUUAGCUUGCUAAGGCCGAUGGCGACCGGCGCACGGGUGAGUAACACGUAUCCAACCUGCCGUCUACUCUUGGACAGCCUUCUGAAAGGAAGAUUAAUACAAGAUGGCAUCAUGAGUCCGCAUUGUCACAUGAUUAAAGGUAUUCCGGUAGACGAUGGGGAUGCGUUCCAUUAGAUAGUAGGCGGGGUAACGGCCCACCUAGUCUUCGAUGGAUAGGGGUUCUGAGAGGAAGGUCCCCCACAUUGGAACUGAGACACGGUCCAAACUCCUACGGGAGGCAGCAGUGAGGAAUAUUGGUCAAUGGGCGAGAGCCUGAACCAGCCAAGUAGCGUGAAGGAUGACUGCCCUAUGGGUUGUAAACUUCUUUUAUAAAGGAAUAAAGUCGGGUAUGGAUACCCGUUUGCAUGUACUUUAUGAAUA